CAGUGAUUGAGGAAGGACUAUCAUUGAUCAGCAGGAAUGUGAUUGCUUUGGCACACUCAGUGAGUUUGAGUGAGACGGUGAGCUGUCACAUUGUGUGUUUAUUUAUUAUGAAGUACAGUAACACAUGGGUUGGGUAAACAUUAUUUUGACCAAUGUUGAGGUUGGGUAAAUAAAAAAUUUACACUGUUUUUCGCUUCUCUUCGAUACCAACCCCAGGUAUAAAUAAUGAACGGUCCCUUAGGU